rnacentral:rRNA from 1 species
AGAAUCUUCCGCAAUGGGCGCAAGCCUGACGGAGCGAUGCCGCGUGAGGGACGAAGGCCUUCGGGUUGUAAACCUCUGUCGACGGGAACGAACACAAUGACGGUACCCGUCAAGAAAGCCACGGCUAACCACGUGCCAGCAGCUGCGGUAAUACGUGGGUGGCGAGCGUUAUUCGGAUUCACUGGGCGUAAAGGGUCCGCAGGGGGCGUGCCACGCCCGCCGUGAAAUGCCGGGGCUCAACCCCGGAGCUGCGGCGGGUACGGGUGCGCUGGAGUGCGGGAUGGGCAGAUGGAAUUCCAGGUGUAGCGGUGGAAUGCGUGGAUAUCUGGAAGAACACCGAUGGCGAAGGCGAUCUGCUGGCCCGUGACUGACCCUCAGGGACGAGAGUGUGGGUAGCGAACA